rnacentral:lncRNA from 1 species
CACAACCCCAACACCCUCCACCUGGCUGUGGCCAGUGUCACCAAAUCCGUGGAACCUUCCCUUCGUCAGGGGGCACAGACUGUCUCGGGCUUCACCUGGUAUCCUGCAGCAUGUGAAAUGUAGCCCUCACUCAUCAAGCAGGGCCCAGAGGCCAACACUGGGACCACUGGACCAGAAGUCAGAAGUGUGGAUACCGACCCCCCAACUAGGCCAUCUGUUGGCAAUCGAUGUCCGAGUCCAGUUUCACAACUGUAAAAUGAAGGCUAGUCUUCUGUUACAUGCCAGGCACAAAAGGUUUUUGGAAAGAAUAAAUUAAGUAAUGGAGCUAAAUGACCUGUAUUGUAUAAGCGAUCAUUAUUAUAGUCAUUAUAAUGAAGUCCAGUAAGUCUCUGUUAGGAGUGUCCGCGAUAGGUUUUGGAAAAUACUCUGUAACUGUACCGCCCACACCCCCAUGGCCUUGCUAGUCAGUGGNUAGGAGUGUCCGCGAUAGGUUUUGGAAAAUACUCUGUAACUGUACCGCCCACACUCCCAUGGCCUUGCUAGUCACAAGCAAAGCAGAAGUGUAGCAUAUAAAUUUGAUUUCUCAGGGCAUCCGAAGUGUAGGUGAGGAUCAUUUUGUUGUAACAAGGUUUACACCAAAAAAAAAAAAUCAAUUUUACAACUAAAUAAAAACACUUUUGGGAAUAAGAGGGCA